UAUAGUAAACUCUUCUAUUCUCCCUCUCUCUCUCUCUCUCUCUCUCUCUCUCUCUCUCUCAAUAUGGGAAUGGCGUAGAAUCUUCUCUCCAACCCUCCCUCAGCUCUCUCGCUAAGCUCAUAACCAUCUAAUUGUAUAACAGAGACAUGGUUUCGUGUAAGGCAUCUCCAGUCAUGGUGGCUCUUCUACUUGUGCAUAUGCUGCUUUUUUCCUCAGUGGUGGCCCCUCAGUGCAAGGCAAAGGAAGGACGCGUUCUCGUGGACAAUCCUGCUCGCGACAAGGGAACUGAUCCUGGAUGUGGCGCUGGACCAGUAAAAGCUCCAAGGCCCCCUCGUGGGACCACUCUUGAAACUCCUCCCUAGUGCCUAUCUGGCUCGAAGGAUGCCUCAAGAAUUCACCUUAAGCAAAAUGACUCGUUAAUUUCUAUUUAUACUUUUUAAAGAGACAAGACCCGGUGUUCUCUGAACACUAAAUGUUCUAGUUUUCUAGUUUGCAUCAGGACAUAUGUACACUCCACAUAUUUCAUGGUCUCUCUGUUGAGAAAAUAGGAAGAAAGUCUUAUAUAUCUAUGAAGUGAUCCUAUUUUUUGUGCC